rnacentral:lncRNA from 1 species
GGGAGACAGAAACCGAUAAAUCUCUUUUGAUCUGGGAUCUGCAAGGCGACUCUGAAAACAUAAAUGGAACCAGCGAGAGCUUGUUGUGGUCAUCCAGCCUGGGGUGCUGUCGUUCCGACGUCCUUCCUACAAAGACAGCAAGCACUGGAUCAGGGCCACCCUCACCUCGGAUGACCCCAUCCCACCAUGAUCACCCAAACGCCCUAUUUCCACAUACAGUUCCUUCCCAGCGCUCCCAGUGCACUGAGUCAUGCGGCUUCCAGGCUCACCAAAGCUGCUGCUGGGAGCGGGUCCUGCUGGAGCUGCUCUGGAGGUGGUUCCCGCUAUUCCCCAGCCAGGCGGACUCACCCCAGGAGGGACGCAGGGGCCAGCGAUGUCACCAUGAUGGAACAGGAAGCAGGAGCCCAGGUGACCAGGGUGAAGCCCCCUUGGGUCCAAAAACACCUUGGAUGACAGAAAGAAGGCGACCAUGCAUUCUGAUGGAGCAGUGACCUGGCCAAAGUGACACCAAGCCAUGCUCUGGCCCUUCGAACCAGACAGGGCCACCCCAGUGUUAAUAGGUUCUAGCCUGGUCGCACGCCUGGCCCUGGGAGGAGGAGGAAGAGGAAGAGGAGCUCCCUGAAGUAGCAGAGCUCUCAGUGUUUGGCUGCUUGCAUUUCUUGACAAAGGAAAUUUGUUGGGCUUAAGUCGCCAGGGUUUGCAUCUGGAUCCGAUGAUGUUUGGCUCGGGGCCGAGCAGAGCCGGCUGGGCCUCCAUGUAAUUAACUUAAGUGCUCUGAAGAUGAAAGCUUGUUUGCCUGAUCCUGGAUUACUGGGAGCACCUUGAAGGUGGGCAGGGUGGCCAGGCGAGUUAUCUCCUGCUCUUGAAGUCUCCACGAUACUGUGGUGGACAGUGGAAAUCAGG